AACUAUCAUACAUAAUUACUAAUAUAAUUUUCUAUAUUGUCUUGGCUUUAAGGACCUUAAAGACGACAAAAUCAACUUAAAGACGACAAAAUGUUGUUACUAGUAGGGAGUGUUUCAAGACUGGAGGCGGACCCCCACUAAGACCAGAGACAGAUGAGCUGGGUGACUUUUUCGCCCUGGAUCAUUGAUAGCCAGCAACCCCUGGAACUCUUGAUGAUGACAAUCUGGACAGUCCGUUGGACACAUUAAUUUAACAUGUGCCAUCCCUGUAAUGUUGUCAGUCAUCUCUUGCACUCCAAUAAUACAAAUUAUUUAAUGCACUCAACUCUUGAAGAAAUAAUGUCUGUAAUGCAGUAAUAUAAUCAUUUUCUAGAGGCAGAUCACCAUAGCUUGGAGGGAAUAAGCGCAACCUAAUGUAUUUAAAAGAAGAGCAUGAUGCACUAUACAUAGAAAGUAUGUGGUGUUGGUAAAGUAGCGGUAUUGCUUUAAAACACCGAGGUGCAUUGUGGGUGACGUAGUAAGGUAACUUUUGAUGCAAUUGUGUGUGACGGGGAUGUAGCCGAACUGUGAGCCAGGCUCUUUUUCUCCGUUAGCCCACUAUUUUAUUUUGUCAUUCGGACUACCUCAAAUUAUGUACAAGUUUUAAAAGUGAACUUCUUCUGUGGAAUUCUAGACUAACUCUUCAUUAGCAGCGGAUAAGAUCCCCAAAUGUGGGAAUUACCCCAGAACAUCCGUAAAUUGAUCAGGCUCUGGAGCUAGCAAGUAAACGCUCCCCUGAGCCGUCCUGAAUACGGUCUGGAGGCGAGGCAGGAAAGAUAACGGUGUUCCCUCUAAACUGCGCUCGGGUGCGUAGUUGCCCGAUACGGCCAAGCAGCUCACCCGGGACUACUGCGCGGAAUAAACUGAAUAUCAGCCAUAAAGAGAAGCACGAUAUUGAAUUUCACUCAACUUUCCAGAGCAGUGGUCACCAACCGGUCGAUAUCCAAGUCAUUCCUAUUCAAUCGCCAAACAUUAAUGUAAAAAUGUGUUCCUAUUUUUUUUUAUUCGUCUUGGGCUGUUGACGGUAGGUGCACCCAAUUCAGCUGUCUUGUGCGCUAGGUAGGGGAACUGUUGCCAUUUUAACCAUUGCACGUGUCUGAAGUUACAACCUCUGCAUUCCCGGCGAGCCUUGAGAGCAAAUCAAGUGCACUAUAUGGUUACCCACAGCUAGCCUAUCGGAUGGCCCAGAUUACGGUGUUUGCAGUUACCUAGUAGGCAUAAAAGAAAGCUACAGCAAAAUUGAUACUGUGAGAUUUCAAAACGUUUAAAACGAUGACAAGAGAGAGGCCGUCAACGAAUACAGCAAAGAGCGUCUGUUUUUUUCAGAGUAACAACGUGAAUUUGUGAGGCACAAAUAUGGGGUGUGACUCAUCAUCCAGUUGGUGUCCCUUUUUGGUCAGUGUCAGUGGAGGAAAGGUAGAGCAGAGGGAUGUUGCAAGGCGGACCCUCAGUCUGCUGCUCUCCCACUGCCGAGACUGACCAUCAGAUGCAGGCACCAUCAGCCCAGUAAAAUACAUUUAAA